UUAUAUGGUCAAGAAGAGAAGCGCAAACGGUGGAUGCCUUGGCAGUAAGAGGCGAAGAAGGACGUGGAAUCCUGCGAAAAGCUAUGGGGAGCUGGAAACGAGCGUUGAGCCAUAGAUGUCCGAAUGGGGGAACCCGGCUGCAGCGAUGCGGUCAUUUGCAUUUGAAUACAUAGGAUGCAAAGGCGAACUCGGGGAACUGAAACAUCUAAGUACCCGAAGGAAAAGAAAUCAAGAGAGAUUCUCCAA
rnacentral:rRNA from 1 species